AACGAACGCUGGCGGCAUGCCUAACACAUGCAAGUCGAACGAGAUCUUCGGGUCUAGUGGCGCACGGGUGCGUAACGCGUGGGAAUCUGCCCUUUGGUUCGGAAUAACAGUUGGAAACGACUGCUAAUACCGGAUGAUGACGAAAGUCCAAAGAUUUAUCGCCAGAGGAUGAGCCCGCGUAGGAUUAGCUAGUUGGUGUGGUAAUGGCGCACCAAGGCGACGAUCCUUAGCUGGUCUGAGAGGAUGAUCAGCCACACUGGGACUGAGACACGGCCCAGACGCCUACGGGAGGCAGCAGUGGGGAAUAUUGGACAAUGGGCGAAGGCCUGAUCCAGCUAUGCCGCGUGAGUGAUGAAGGCCUUAGGGUUGUAAAGCUCUUUUACCCGGGAUGAUAAUGACAGUACCGGGAGAAUAAGCUCCGGCUAACUCCGUGCCAGCAGCCGCCGUAA
rnacentral:rRNA from 1 species